GCAGAAAUAGCCAUGUUCUGGUCUGUUUUCUCGUUGAGGAGCUUGGGGUAUAUAUUCCCAGCUGUUUCGAAUCAUAAACUCCGGGUGAGCUGAACAAGGCCAGAAGAGGCAGUCAGAUCCCUCCGAACUGGAAUAUAGGCCCCUGCGAUCCAACUGAUGUGAUUGCUGGGAAUUGAACCUGCAUCCUUUGGAAGAGCAGCCAGUACUUUUAACUGCUGAACCUCCUAUGGGCCCCUUCUCAUUGAAGUGCCUUUACUUUUAAUUUUAAAA
rnacentral:lncRNA from 1 species